rnacentral:lncRNA from 1 species
CCCCCAGGGCGUAGCUCAGUUGGUUCGCAGGUGGUAGAUUGCAUCCAAGUGUGCAGGUUCGAGUCAUGGCAGCCGCAGUGUGGGAAAGUCACUCAUGAAAUAUUGGGUGGGCUCCUUGUGGGCACUAUGCACUGUACCUCCCAUCUGUUGGGCCGCUGGGUACCUGAUUUACCUGUCAUGCCAUACCCUUGGGGCUGGGCGGCAUGGCCCGGCUAAGGUGUCCGGCCCAACACCUUUU